CAGCGCCUCCUGCUCCGCCCACUCACCCCGCCACGUGGUGGCCGGGUAAGGGCCUCGGGGCAGCAU
rnacentral:pre_miRNA from 3 species